rnacentral:lncRNA from 1 species
AUGGUAUGGAGAGAAUGAAUGCCAUUAAUUGGUUGAUUAAGUAAUUCACGGCUGAAGCAUUAUUUUUUUUUCUUCCUUUAAUUUAGAAAUGAUGCUUGAUAUUGGGUGUAGGCCGUAAGGUCAUUAAUGAUUGAAGGAAUAUACAUUCAAUUCCUUUUCAAUUUGGAUAAAGGCAUAUGUCACGUCCUGCAAUAGUUUUAUUUGGAUAAACUUGUUUUGUUUUUUAUUUUCUUUUAUUUGAAAUUAAUUUAGGUUUUAGAUAAAUUUUAUGUCUUUUUAUUUUCUUUUAUUUUAAAUUAGUUUGAAUCGUAGGUUAAGUUGUUUUUAAUUUCUUUAAUUUAGUUUUGCAUUUAAUUUAAUUUAAUUGUGUUUAGAUAUUUGUUUAGUCUAGU